rnacentral:rRNA from 14 species
GCCAGCUAAGGUCCCCAAGUUAUGGCUAAGUGGGAAAGGAUGUAGAACUCCCAAAACAACCAGGAUGUUGGCUUAGAAGCAGCCAUCAUUUAAAGAAAGCGUAACAGCUCACUGGUCUAAAUAAGGGUUCCCGCGCCGAAAAUGUAACGGGGAUUAAGCCAUAUACCGAAGCUUCGGCUGCACACCUUCGGGUGUGCGGGGUAGCGGAGCGUUCUCUAGGCGGAUGAAGCGUAAUCGCGAGAUUGCGUGGACGUAUGAGAAGUGAGAAUGCUGACACGAGUAGCGAUAAAGAGUGUGAGAGACACUCUCGCCGAAAGUCCAAGGGUUCCUGCGUAAAGCUAAUCUGCGCAGGGU